CAUUAUUGAAUGAACUUGGCUGUGGUUGUUGCUGGCCCUCUUGGGGGCAUGUGCACACCCGCCAUCCUCAUCUCUCCACCUGUGCACUUCUUGUAGACUUGGAUAGACUUUCCGAGGCAACUCGGUCUGGAGGAAUGCUGCGCCCUUUGGGCAAGCUUUCUUUGUAUUUCCUGGUCUACGUUUUUUUUCAUAUAACCCCAUCGCAUGUAACAGAAUGUACCAUAUUGGGCCCUUGUGCCUAUAAACCUUAUACAACUUUCAGCAACGGAUCUCUUGGCUCUCGCAUCGAUGAAGAACGCAGCGAAAUGCGAUAAGUAAUGUGAAUUGCAGAAUUCAGUGAAUCAUCGAAUCUUUGAACGCACCUUGCGCUCCUUGGUAUUCCGAGGAGCAUGCCUGUUUGAGUGUCAUUAAAUUCUCAACCUUUAUUAGCUUUUGCUGAUAAGUGGCUUGGAUGUGGGGCUUGCUGGCGACUUUAUUGAGGUCAGCUCCCCUUAAAUGCAUUAGCUGGUGCCCUGUGUGGACUGUCUAUUGGUGUGAUAAUUAUCUACGCCGUGGAUGUCUGCAAUUAGCACUGCUUCUAACCGUCUGUUCAUUUCGGACAAUACAAUGACAGUUUGACCUCAAAUCAGGCAGGACUACCCGCUGAACUUAAGCAUAUCAAUAAGCGGAGGAA
rnacentral:rRNA from 1 species